rnacentral:rRNA from 1 species
CGUGUAGGCGGUUUUAUAAGUCUGAUGUGAAAGCCCCGGGCUCAACCCGGGAAGUGCAUUGGAUACCGUAAGACUUGAAUACGGGAGAGGGCAGUGGAAUUCCUAGUGUAGGAGUGAAAUCCGUAGAUAUUAGGAGGAACACCGGUGGCGAAGGCGGCUGCCUGGACCGAUAUUGACGCUGAGACGCGAAAGCGUGGGUAGCAAACA